UGAGUAAUACAUCGGAACGUGUCGUUCUAGUGGGGGAUAACUGCCCGAAAGGGCAGCUAAUACCGCAUGAGACCUGAGGGUGGAAAGCGGGGGAUCGCAAGACCUCGCGCUGGAAGAGCGGCCGAUGUCCGAUUAGCUAGUUGGUGGGGUAAAGGCUCACCAAGGCGACGAUCGGUAGCUGGUCUGAGAGGACGACCAGCCACACUGGGACUGAGACACGGCCCAG
rnacentral:rRNA from 1 species